rnacentral:rRNA from 1 species
UGCACCAGUGAUUCCUACGGGAGGCAGCAGUGGGGAAUAUUGGACAAUGGGCGAAAGCCUGAUCCAGCAAUGCCGCGUGAGUGAUGAAGGCCUUAGGGUUGUAAAGCUCUUUUACCAGGGAUGAUAAUGACAGUACCUGGAGAAUAAGCUCCGGCUAACUCCGUGCCAGCAGCCGCGGUAAUACGGAGGGAGCUAGCGUUGUUCGGAAUUACUGGGCGUACAGCGCGCGUAGGCGGCUGUUCACGUCGAAGGUGAAAGCCCUGGGGCUCAACCCCGGAACUGCCUUGAAACUAGAUGGCUAGAAUCUUGGAGAGGUCAGUGGAAUUCCGAGUGUAGACGGUGAAGUCGUAGAUAUUCGGAAGCAACACCAGUCCCGAAGACGGAUGACUGGACAUGUAUUGACGCUGAGGUGCGCAAGCAUGGGGCGCAAACAGGAUUAAAUAGCCCUGGUAGUCCACGCCGUAAACGAUGAUAACUAGGCUGUCCGAGCACUUGGUGCUUGGGUGGCGCAGCUAACGCAUUAAGUUAUCCGCCUGGGGAGUACGGUCGCAAGACUUAAAACUCGCAUGGAUUGCAGCGGGGAAUCGAUUCCCUCGGCCGGCC